AAGCGUGCUUAGGCUAGAGUAGUAUUGGGAUGGGUGACCUGCCGGGAAGUCCUAGUGUUGCACCCU
rnacentral:rRNA from 1 species